rnacentral:rRNA from 1 species
GCGCUGCAUUAGCUAGUUGGUAAGGUAACGGCUUACCAAGGCAACGAUGCAUAGCCGACCUGAGAGGGUGAUCGGCCACACUGGAACUGAGACACGGUCCAGACUCCUACGGGAGGCAGCAGUAGGGAAUCUUCCGCAAUGGGCGAAAGCCUGACGGAGCAACGCCGCGUGAGUGAUGAAGGUCUUCGGAUCGUAAAACUCUGUUAUUAGGGAAGAACAUAUGUGUAAGUAACUGUGCACAUCUUGACGGUACCUAAUCAGAAAGCCACGGCUAACUACGUGCCAGCAGCCGCGGUAAUACGUAGGUGGCAAGCGUUAUCCGGAAUUAUUGGGCGUAAAGCGCGCGUAGGCGGUUUUUUAAGUCUGAUGUG